UCUUUGCUAGUAUAUCGGUUUAGUACACGCGCCUGUCAAUGUUGUUUAAGACACGUAUCGUCUCGACGCGCGAAAGCUGGGUUCGACUCCCAGGCAGAGAG